CUUCAAAAAGCUGAUUGUUGUUCAUCCUUGUACCCUCCUUAGCAAGUCUGUCCGCAGCUCUAUUAGAGGUCCGUCCUUCAUGGUACACCAGCGUGUUCCCCAGCAUCUGAAGAAGAUUCCUGCACAUGUGAAUAAGGAGCAAGGAGACAACGAAGAUUAUCAGUACUGUUUGGUAGCUCCGGAAUGAGGGUUGCCUUAAUAGUGUCAGCCAGCUCCUUUAGGAGGUUAUAGUGUAAGGCUUUCAGAUCCCAUCUCCCAUUUUUUUAAGCGAAUCCACAGUAAGAUCUUCCUCGUCUUUGUUCAAGACUGUAUGGAUGACCAGGAAUCCUUCCAAACUUUAAUCUUUCGGCCAUUCCCUAGAUCCCAACUCGAGCAUUCCUUACAGAUAUCCCAUCCUUGAACAACAUUUUUCCAUAUACUGCUAGUAUUUUGGGGACUAUGAAAGACUUUAUCUAGGCUUCUAUGGUGGUUGUAUUAGGCUAUCAAGACAGUAGCCCACAACAUUGUGGGCUUAUUGAAGAUCCUCCAGGCCAAUCUUGCAUGAAGGGCUUUAUUUCUAAUACCCGCUUUAUGAACACCUAAUCCACCCAACUCUUUUGGUUUGGUAAUUGUGUCCCAACCCAAGAGAUGAAGUUUUUUUUUGGAAUCAUUUGUCCCCCAAAUAAAAUCUCGCUGGAUCUUGUCUAUGCGUUUGGUGAUAUUUUGAGAAAGCUUCGUAUAUUACAUUGUGUGGGUAGGAAUAUUAUUAAGGCAAGCCUUCGCUAGCGUUGUUCUACCAGCAAUAUUUAAGAAA